rnacentral:rRNA from 1 species
UUGCCAGACUCCUACGGGAGGCAGCAGUGAGGAAUAUUGGUCAAUGGCCGGAAGGCUGAACCAGCCAAGCCGCGUGAAGGACGAAGGUGCCAAGCCUUGUAAACUUCUUUUGUCAAGGGACAAAAUCAGGCUCGAGAGCCUGACCGAGGGUACUUGAAGAAAAAGCAUCGGCUAACUCCGUGCCAGCAGCCGCGGUAAUACGGAGGAUGCGAGCGUUAUCCGGAUUUAUUGGGUUUAAAGGGUGCGUAGGCGGACUUUUAAGUCGGGGGUAAAAGCCCGGGGCUCAACCCCGGCGAGCCGUUGAAACUGGCAGUCUCGAGUUGGAGAGAAGUAUGCGGAAUGCGCGGUGUAGCGGUGAAAUGCAUAGAUAUCGCGCAGAACUCCGAUUGCGAAGGCAGCAUACCGGCGCGCAACUGACGCUCAUGCACGAAAGCGUGGGUAUCGAACAGGAUUAGAUACCCGGGUAA